AAAUUUCACAAGUUGAAGAAAUAAAACAUUCUCAAUGUUUAGAGUAUAAGCCUGACAAUAUGGAAGCUGUAUUUAUGGAGUGAUUAUAUUUCUAGACAUUGACCCCCUUUACACCACUUUGAAAACUCUAUACAGUUUAUGUCUACAAAAUGAGAAUAGCACAUGAUACCAGUGAGGAGAACAUGGCGAAUAGUUUUUUCAGAACCUCUCUCUAAGAACGAAAUAUAGACAAAAAUACAAGUGAACUCUGAAAAAAUGCUCUUAUAAAUGCUACAGAUGUUACAAUGAGAUUUCAAGCUAUUGCUCUGCCGUGGUCAUUUAGAUAGAGAUUAAGUUUCCAGAUAUGGCAAACGUUGUUUAAGCCUCUGCUUACUAAACUCACUUGCAGUGCACUUUUUCUCUUAACUUAUGAUACGAAAGUAUGUCAUAGUGACAGUAACAUGAUUUUUGGUGGUGGCACGAAACUUACAGUGAUCGGGAAGAAGAGUGAAAUCGUACCACCGACUGUGGCCAUCUUUUCACCAUCAAAGCAGGAGAUUCAACAGAAGAAUAAGGCCACUCUGGUAUGCCUGGCUUCCGGUUUCUACCCUGAUCACCUCAAUUUAGUCUGGAAUGUGAAUGGCAACAAGAGGACAGAAGGAGUGGGAACAGAUGAGAUUUCCACAUCAAAUGGGAGCACUUACGCAUUGACCAGCAGACUGAGAAUCUCAGCCCAAGAGUGGUUCAACCCUCUGAACCGUUUUGAGUGUAUUGCUGAAUUUUUUCACGGUGAACAGAAAUCAAUACAUAAAUUCAUCCAUGGUGAUACUGGAUGUAUGCUUACUAAAGAGUCCUACUUGCAUUAUGGAAAUUCUAUGAAGCUCACUUACCUCAUUCUGUGUGGCAAAGCCUUCCUCUAUGCAAUUUUGGUGUGCGCUCUGAUGUGGAAAGUCAAGGCUGGUAGCAAGCCAUAUAAAGAAUAAGUGAAUAAUCUCCUCCAUCUCAUCAGCAGGAAAACAACAAAUUCCACGUUUUUCUUUUCUGCAGUAGAGUCCAAGCUUCUAAUAUCCUCUUUCUUGAUGGUUCUCUGUUCUCUCCUGUUCUUUCAGCUUUGUUUUAAUCACUGCCAGAUUUCCCAUGGACAUGCAGGGUAAUUUCUAUCCUAGCUUUAAAACACCUCCUUACUGCUCAGAGGUGUCAGCUUCUUAAAUUAGGAAUAAAGUUUGUGUCACUCCA